rnacentral:lncRNA from 1 species
CUUCAAAGGUGGAACAGUGCAGAAAUGCUUCUGCCUUCUACAGCUGACUUCUGUACCUAGGCUACUACAUCAGUUGUCCCAUUUGAUGUGUUCUGAGGCUGGGAUUGGAGCAGGACCUCACACUUUUCCGCCAGGGAGUCUUCUUCCAAGGGCUGGAAGUAUGGCCUCGAGUUAACUUGGCUCCAUGGAGUUUGCUCGUUGGACCUUGGGAUGGCCUGGAUCCUGCCAUGUAAAUCAAAGAAGAGAGGGUCUGACUCAGCCGCCUAGCCUGGGUCACCUGGAACCCAUUAUGAUACAGAAUCAUAAACACCUCCAUUUUCCCUUCGGAGAGAGACCAGAACCACUGAAGUUAAGCUACCUGCAUAAGAGUUGAGUGCGAUCAGCUGUACUUAAUCUUUAAAUGUCCAACCCACUGAUAACCUUUGGUUUGCUUUGAUAACUAUGAAAUAAAUUCUCACUGCAUUGGAUACCGGCAUUCUGGUUUCUAUUCAAGGCUGGGGUGCAGAUGUCAUGG